rnacentral:rRNA from 1 species
UCGAGAAUCUUCCGCAAUGCACGAAAGUGUGACGGAGCGACGCCGCGUGAUUGAUGAAGCCCUUCGGGGUGUAAAGAUCUUUUAUGAGUGAAGAAGUAUAUUGACAUUAGCUCAUGAAUAAGGGGCUCCUAAUCUCGUGCCAGCAGGAGCGGUAAUACGAGAGCCCCAAGCAUUAUCCGGAAUUAUUGGGCGUAAAGGGUGCGUAGGUGGCUGUAUUAGUCGUAUUUCAAAGACCCGUGCUUAACAUGGG